rnacentral:rRNA from 1 species
AUUGAACGCUGGCGGCAUGCUUUACACAUGCAAGUCGAACGGCAGCGCGGGCUUCGGCCUGGCGGCGAGUGGCGAACGGGUGAGUAAUACAUCGGAACGUGCCCAGUAGUGGGGGAUAGCUCGGCGAAAGCCGGGUUAAUACCGCAUACGACCUGAGGGUGAAAGCGGGGGAUCUUCGGACCUCGCGCUAUUGGAGCGGCCGAUGGCAGAUUAGCUAGUUGGUGGGGUAAAGGCCUACCAAGGCGACGAUCUGUAGCUGGUCUGAGAGGACGACCAGCCACACUGGGACUGAGACACGGCCCAGACUCCUACGGGAGGCAGCAGUGGGGAAUUUUGGACAAUGGGCGAAAGCCUGAUCCAGCAAUGCCGCGUGUGUGAUGAAGGCCUUCGGGUUGUAAAGCACUUUUGGCGGGAACGAAAAGGACUGUGCCAAUACCACGGUUCGAUGACGGUACCCGCAGAAUAAGCACCGGCUAACUACGUG